CGGUGAGUAAUAUAGUCGGACGUCGCCAGUCGUGGGGAUAACGUAGCGAAAGUUACGCUAAUACCGCAUACGAUCUAAGGAUGAAAGCGGGGAUCGCAAGACCUCGCGCGAUUGGAGCGGCCGAUAUCAGAUUAGGUAGUUGGUGAGGUAAAGGCUCACCAAGCCAACGAUCUGUAGCUGGUCUGAGAGGACGACCAGCCACACUGGAACUGAGACGCGGUCCAGACUCCUACGGGAGGCAGCAGUGGGGAAUUUUGGACAAUGGGCGCAAGCCUGAUCCAGCAAUGCCGCGUGCAGGAUGAAGGCCUUCGGGUUGUAAACUGCUUUUGUACGGAACGAAACGGUGAGCUCUAAUACAGUUUGCUAAUGACGGUACCGUAAGAAUAAGCACCGGCUAACUACGUG
rnacentral:rRNA from 1 species